rnacentral:rRNA from 1 species
GACGAACGCUGGCGGCAUGCCUAAUGCAUGCAAGUCGAGCGAACAGAUGAAGUGCUUGCACUUCUGACGUUAGCGGCGAACGGGUGAGUAACACGUAAGGAAUCUACCUAUAAGCGGGGGAUAACAUUCGGAAACGGGUGCUAAUACCGCAUAAUAUCUUCUUCCGCAUGGAAGAAGAUUGAAAGACGGCUCUGCUGUCACUUAUAGAUGACCUUGCGGUGCAUUAGUUAGUUGGUGGGGUAACGGCCUACCAAGACGAUGAUGCAUAGCCGACCUGAGAGGGUGAUCGGCCACAUUGGGACUGAGACACGGCCCAAACUCCUACGGGAGGCAGCAGUAGGGAAUCUUCCGCAAUGGGCGAAAGCCUGACGGAGCAACGCCGCGUGAGUGAAGAAGGCCUUCGGGUCGUAAAACUCUGUUAUAAGAGAAGAACAAAUUGUAGAGUAACUGCUACGGUCUUGACGGUAUCUUAUCAGAAAGCCACGGCUAACUACGUGCCAGCAGCCGCGGUAA